UUUUGUGAAGUCGGUUAGAAUUUUUAGUGCCUUUAUUGUGAUGUGAAAACCUAAAAAAACUACUGUCAGUAUAAUGGGCUCCUAGGGUCUGAAAUAGUACCUGGUGGUAUCUCUUGAAUUUGAUUUCAUGAACUGUUUCAUAUAAUGUGAUCAGAAAAAAUACUUAAUUUCUCCUGGAAAUGAUGCUAGAAUAAGUUUUUACCACGUUAAGCGACUGAACAGCUAACAUGAUUUUAGCACCUCAGGAGUGUGGUUGUCCACUAACCGACCCCGGCGGCCCGUCCAUCGUCGGCUCACCAGUCUGCAGCGGGUUCGCACUCUUCAUGGUGUUGGUAGAAGCCUUCCUCAAAGGCCGCUGCGACAUCGCCUCUCCAUGCCAGAGGGUCGAGAGCGUGAAGGAGGUGGAAGAGGAGUAUGACUUCAUAGUCGUCGGGGCCGGACCUGCUGGGUCGAUUGUAGCUUCGAGGUUGAGUGAAGUCCGGAAUUUUAGCGUGUUACUUUUAGAAGCUGGUAUAGAAGAACCGAUAGGAGCGAAAGUACCGUCAUUCUACCGUGCAUUCUGGGGCAAUGAGGAUCUCGACUGGCGCUAUCGGACUGUUCCGGAGAACUACUGCCUCGACCAGAAGGGGAAAGGUUGCAAUUGGCCUAGAGGGAAAGUCGUUGGGGGCUGUAACGUCCUGAACGGUCUGAUGUAUCACCGAGGCCACGCAGCCGACUAUGAGGAUUGGGUCAAAGCAGGUGCCACCGGUUGGUCCUGGGAGGAGAACAAGAAGUACUUUGACAUGACGGAGGGCAACAAGCAGAUCGGCACGCUGGUCAGCGAGGAAUACCACUCCAAAGACGGGCCCUUGCCUAUUCAGCAGUUCUCAUACCAACCACCCUUUCUCUACUCUCUUCUUGACGCAAUCAACGAGACUGGUAUCCCCAUCCUACGCGACAUGAACGAUCCUUCCACUCCUGAUGGCUUCAUGAUCGCACAGACUAUGAACCAGGACGGGCAACGCUACACGACAGCGCGAGCAUACCUAAAGCCGAAGUCAGAGCGACCCAACUUGAGCCUGAAGACACAAGCUCACGUGAGCAAAGUCCUCAUCGACAAAAAUAAACGCGCGUAUGGAGUGCAGUACAUUGACAAAGAUGGGAAGACGCAGACAGUGCGAGCUAAAAAAGAGGUGAUAUUAAGCGCAGGAGCCCUCAACAGUCCACACAUCCUGCUGCUGUCAGGAAUCGGUCCGAAGGAAGAGUUAGACAAGUUCAAGAUCCCUGUGGUGGCAGACUUGCCGGUUGGUAAGAACCUGCGGAACCACUACGGGAUCACCCUUUCCUUCAUCGCCAACAAGCUGGACAACACACAGGUCCUCGAUUGGUCCGUAUUCACGGAAUACAUGCUCACUCGAACUGGACCGAUGUCUUCUACUUCCAUUACACAGCUAACCGGCAUCCUAUAUUCGAGCUUAGCAGACAAGACGCGAAAGCAGCCGGACAUCCAGAUCUUCUUCAACGGUUUCUACGCAGAGUGCUCCAAAAACGGACGUAUUGAUGAACCAUUAGAUGCAGGGGAUUGCUAUAUACAUCGCAACAUUACCGCCAACGCUGCAGCGCUGCUCCCCCGCAGCGUGGGGUUCUUGACUCUGAACUCAACGGACCCGCUGAACCCCCCGCUCUUCUUCCCCGAGUAUUUCACCCACCCUGACGACCUCACCGUCAUCAAGGAUGGCGCCCGGUACCUGCAGAAGAUCUUCGAGUCUCCGACAAUGAAAGACAAGUUCGGCGUAGAGCUAGACCCCGAGUUCCUGUCACCCUGCAACAACACCGGCGAGGUCUGGUCUGAUCCUUGGCUGGAGUGCAUGGCGCGCACCUACACCGACCCCCAGAACCACCAGCUCGGCACCACCGCCAUUGGAGCCGUCGUCGACACGCAGUUGAGGGUCUACAAUGUUACUGGGUUGCGAGUAAUAGACGCAGGUUCGAUGCCGACCCAGCCGACUGGCAACCCUCAAGCUGCCAUCAUGGUGGUCGCGGAGAGAGGCGCCGUGCUUCUCAAGGAGGAGUGGGCGUAGACCUUCGCUGCUUCAGCAGUGGUCGAUGGACGUGGUGACAACAUAAUCAUCGUUACAAAUACCAAGGGUCUAAAAAGACCACAUUGAAACCAUUUCACCUAAAAAAAGCAACAUUGCGUUGUCUUGACACUGGUGCUGAUUCAUGUAUACACCAUCUAAGUUUAUUUUAAGUUAUACCUGUCAUCUUCUUAUUCGCCGAAAAGGAAAGGGACGUUUAAUCGACAGGCAUAAAACUUAUGGAACACACGUCAAUUUUAGGCAGAAAUUAAACCCUUCCAAAAUUGUAUAUUGGCCAAUAACCCGACUGAAUUAAGUUGCUGUCACGUAAAACGGAUUGCAUAUGAGCGAGAUGCCUAUUUUAUUCGCCCGGGUUACUGUUUAAUUUUAAAAUUAACAGUUGUCAAAAUGACGGGUAUAACUUAAAAUAAAAUGAGGUGUCUGCAGGAAUUGGGGCCAUUGCGCAUUUAACUUUUAUAGGCGCAUACUUAUGUAAAAUUGCAAAAUUGUUUUAUUUAGACGAAUUGCUUCAAUGUGGCCUUUUAGUCCCUCAGGGCUCAUUAAGAUGAAGUACGAGUUCAACUUUUAAUUAUAAUGAUUUCUUCUUGAUCAAACGGUGAAAACAGAAUAAGUAACUUAGUGACUGAAAGCAAAGCACCCUUAUCCCUAAGGAUAAGGUUCUUGGAAUUAAGACGAUUUCAACAUAACUUGAAAUAUCGGAUUUUUCUGUUUAUACGUGGUGCGAUGUUGUAGGCUCUGCAGUGUAGGACGAAUCAACAUAGACAUUGAAGUUUAUAAAUUGUUCACUCUAUGAGUUAUAUUAUUAGAUUCCAAUUUUAACUGUAUUACAAGCCAUCUACAGUAUCAUUAUUAUAGUCCCGCUUCGCAAUGCGUAUUUUUUUUUAUGUUUAGCGCCGUGUCGGGUGGGAGAAAUAAAGAUCGAUCUUUCUUUCAAUAGCUAUUCUCCAAUCCUAAUUGCGCUCUUAAUCGUUAUGCUUAUAAAAUUCAAUUAUAAUACUUAUAAUUUAAAAAAAAUAUCGGUCUUCUAAUAUAAGUAAGUAAUCCUAUUCUGCGGUUGGCCUCAACUUUAUCGUACUGUACUUCAGUUGUUCAAUAAAAAAAACAAGGAAGAUAAAUAAGGCUAAGUAUUAAAGGAAAUGAGUAGUAAAUAAAUAAUCAUAAAGAUAAUUUUGGAAGUAGCAUUAGGUUAGGCAACACCGAAUCAAAAUCCCUUAUCGCGCCUCAAAAUCUCUUCCGAAUCAUUCACAAAAAAGAGCUCCAUUUUUAUUUCUAAACUGAAACAUUAUUGAAAACUGAACACAAGUAUCUGUGCAUACUGCAUUGUUUAUAGAAUCGUUAUUUACUAUAAAGAUCUCAUUCAAAUUCAUCACGUAACGUCCAGAACAAACAAACCAAUUUUGUACGAUAAAUAUUUUACGGCGCGAAAGUGUGCGUUACUUAGUGUUAUUUACUUCUGGAUUCAGGAUAUUUUAAAGAAAGGCCAGGUCAAGAGUACUCUAAACAGCAGAGCCAAGAAGUCUUUGAUGAGAGUGGAAGAAGCGAAAGUGGUGUCAGGAUCGUAGUACAGUCAUGAGUAAUAUAAUGUACCCACUUUAGGACUCUGUCGCACUAACAUAUUUGACAUUUAGUGAGACUUACAGUUCAAUUUGUCAAAAAAGUUAAUGUGACAUGGUACCAAAGUGUAUACAUAUUAAUGCUCGCGACCGUACAUACCAUCUAAUUUUAUUUUAAGUUAUACCUGUCAUUUU
rnacentral:misc_RNA from 1 species